rnacentral:lncRNA from 1 species
CACAUUUUCAUCUUGAUUAAGGGUACAUGAUAAUGACAACGAUGGAUCAUAACAAGCUUGCAUGUUUGAGGUUAUAAGCUUUUUUUUUGUCACUCAACAUUUCAUUGCGUCUAAUUGGCGGUGUCUGCCUUGCUUGUUUAAUAUUUUCCAUGUCAGCUCCUCGUGUCAUACGAAAAUUAACGCAUGUGGUACUAUCAUAAAGAUGAAACAUAAAUUUUUAUCGUCCAUCAACAACCUACAUAAGAAAACCCAUAGCUUGUUUUCAAAAAGUGUACCUCGUAUCACAUGGCAAGGUUGAUGAACAUUCGUGAUAUCAUUAAAGAGCCCUGUGACAUGAGAGUCAGCAUUCUAGAAUAAGGCAGCACGUUUUCAUACUAAAAAGAAUGACGAAACAUAUCACAAUCUUACUUGUCGUCGUUUG